CCUGUUUCUCUAGUAUUCCAGUUAAGAAUCAUUUAUGAUGAGUGGAAAACUUAUUGAAUGCUUCCAAAAAGGAAUCAAAAGGAUAGCCCAAAGCUUCCAAAAAGAAAAACAUCUCAAGGAGAGUACUACAAGCAUUAUAAUAGAAGGGCUGGUAAAUGUAAUGGUAAUAAAUGCAAAAGAUGAGCAGAACCCAAAUAGAGACA
rnacentral:lncRNA from 1 species